GAUGAAGAACGUAGCGAAAUGCGAUACUUGGUGUGAAUUGCAGAAUCCCGUGAACCAUCGAGUCUUUGAACGCAAGUUGCGCCCGAAGCCAUUAGGCCGAGGGCACGCCUGCCUGGGCGUCACACGUCGUUGCCCCCCCAUCUACUCCUUCGGGAUUGCGGGGGGCGGAUGAUGGCCUCCCGUGCGCCUCGUCGCGCGGUUGGCAUAAAUGCCAAGUCCUCGGCGACGCACGCCACGACAAUCGGUGGUUGCGAAACCUCGGUUGCCCGUCGUGUGCGGUCGUCGCGCAUCGAGGGCUCGAAAAAAUUGCCGGGCUCCGGCUCGGCUUUCAACGCGACCCCAGGUCAGGCGGGGUUACCCGCUAAAUUUAAGCAUAUCAAUAAGCGGAGGA
rnacentral:misc_RNA from 1 species